rnacentral:misc_RNA from 3 species
CUAAGGACACAAUUAUCAUCUUCAGUUUUGAGAGACUUAAGAAAGUUUUUCAUUGUAACUUGCUUGCAAAUUUUAUUUGCAACAUUUUAAUCUUUUUAAGAUUAAGGGCCUAUAGCUCAGUUGGUUAGAGCACACGCCUGAUAAGCGUGAGGUCGGUGGUUCAAGUCCAUUUAGGCCCACCAUAACCACAAAUAGGCAAAAUCUUAAAAAAGCUCUUUGAAAAGUAGAUAAACGAAGGUUAAAAAAUC